rnacentral:misc_RNA from 1 species
UACCUUUGAAAAGCAUGGAAACAUGUACAAAAUGGGCAGCAUAAGUAUCCCUUCUCAUCAAAGCUCAGUAAGGAACCCAAGCAUUUCUCAUGAAAAAACAAUGAGCAACCAACAGCACUACAUACCAACACCUGACCAUCUUUGCUGCACUUAAAACAACAAUUUGGCUUUGUCUGGUCAGCUACUGCUGCAAAAUAAGAGCUCAGAAAACGACUCUUCUUCAUGCUAUCAACCUUUUUGUGAUGAUAUUGUUUGACAUCACUUGAUGUACCUUGUUUGCAAAGAUGCUCCAAGCCACCUGCUUUGUCAUCAAUAACAUUCCUCUGAGAUCCACUAAAGGAUCCACUAUUUGGUAUUUUUAGUUGCAUCCACUGUUCACCAUCAUCUUUGGCUCCAUCAAAGGUGACUUUCAGCUGCAUUUUCUUGAAGGGUGCCUUUUUCAAUUGCCUAUGUUCA